rnacentral:rRNA from 1 species
GAGUUUGAUCAUGGCUCAGAUUGAACGCUGGCGGCAGGCCUAACACAUGCAAGUCGAACGGUAGCACAGAGAGCUUGCUCUCGGGUGACGAGUGGCGGACGGGUGAGUAAUGUCUGGGAAACUGCCUGAUGGAGGGGGAUAACUACUGGAAACGGUAGCUAAUACCGCAUAACGUCGCAAGACCAAAGAGGGGGACCUUCGGGCCUCUUGCCAUCAGAUGUGCCCAGAUGGGAUUAGCUAGUAGGUGGGGUAACGGCCCACCUAGGCGACGAUCCCUAGCUGGUCUGAGAGGAUGACCAGCCACACUGGAACUGAGACACGGUCCAGACUCCUACGGGAGGCAGCAGUGGGGAAUAUUGCACAAUGGGCGCAAGCCUGAUGCAGCCAUGCCGCGUGUAUGAAGAAGGCCUUCGGGUUGUAAAGUACUUUCAGCGGGGAGGAAGGCGAUGUGGUUAAUAACCGCGUCGAUUGACGUUACCCGCAGAAGAAGCACCGGCUAACUCCGUGCCAGCAGCCGCGGUAAUACGGAGGGUGCAAGCGUUAAUCGGAAUUACUGGGCGUAAAGCGCACGCAGGCGGUCUGUUAAGUCAGAUGUGAAAUCCCCGGGCUUAACCUGGGAACUGCAUUUGAAACUGGCAGGCUUGAGUCUUGUAGAGGGGGGUAGAAUUCCAGGUGUAGCGGUGAAAUGCGUAGAGAUCUGGAGGAAUACCGGUGGCGAAGGCGGCCCCCUGGACAAAGACUGACGCUCAGGUGCGAAAGCGUGGGGAGCAAACAGGAUUAGAUACCCUGGUAGUCCACGCCGUAAACGAUGUCGACCUGGAGGUUGUGCCCUUGAGGCGUGGCUUCCGGAGCUAACGCGUUAAGUCGACCGCCUGGGGAGUACGGCCGCAAGGUUAAAACUCAAAUGAAUUGACGGGGGCCCGCACAAGCGGUGGAGCAUGUGGUUUAAUUCGAUGCAACGCGAAGAACCUUACCUGGUCUUGACAUCCACAGAACUUUCCAGAGAUGGAUUGGUGCCUUCGGGAACUGUGAGACAGGUGCUGCAUGGCUGUCGUCAGCUCGUGUUGUGAAAUGUUGGGUUAAGUCCCGCAACGAGCGCAACCCUCGUUCCAUGUUGCCAGCACGUAGUGGUGGGGACUCAUGGGAGACUGCCGGGGUCAACUCGGAGGAAGGUGGGGAUGACGUCAAAUCAUCAUGCCCCUUAUGUCUUGGGCUUCACGCAUGCAACAAUGGCCGGUACAAUGGGUUGCGAUACUGUGAGGUGGAGCUAAUCCCUAAAAGCCGGUCUCAGUUCGGAUUGGGGUCUGCAACUCGACCCCAUGAAGUCGGAGUCGCUAGUAAUCGCAGAUCAGCAACGCUGCGGUGAAUACGUUCCCGGGCCUUGUACACACCGCCCGUCAAGUCAUGAAAGUUGGUAACACCCGAAGCCGGUGGCCUAACCCCUUGUGGGAGGGAGCUGUCGAAGGUGGGACUGGCGAUUAGGACUAAGUCGUAACAAGGUAGCCGUA